UGGAGGCAGCAGUGAGGGAUAUUGCGCAAUGGGCGAAAGCCUGACGCAGCAACGCCGCGUGGAGGAUGAAGGCCUUCGGGUUGUAACCUUCUUUGGAGCGGGACGAGGAAGGACGGUACCGCUCAAACAAGUCACGGCUAACUACGUGCCAGCAGCCGCGGUAAAACGUAGGUGGCAAGCGUUAUCCGGAAUUACUGGGCGUAAAGGGUGUGCAGGCGGGGGAACAAGUGGUGUAUGAAAUCGCUCGGCUUAACCGGGCGCGGUUAUGCCAGACUGUUCUUCUAGAGGACGAGAGAGGGGGGUGGAAUUCCGGGUGUAGUGGUGAAAUGCGUAGAGAUCCGGAGGAACCCCAGAGGCGAAGGCGGCCCCCUGGCUCGUACCUGACGCUCAGCCACGACAGCAUGGGGAGCGAACGGGAUUAGAUACCCUUGUAGUCC
rnacentral:rRNA from 1 species